AAAUAUUAACUCGGGGUAAUUCGAAUUCACCACGAUGGAAAAAAUUGUAGCGUAUAAAAAGGUGGGUUGUCCCUGAAACGAGUGGCAGACCGAAGACGCGAAACUUCAAGAGGGAUCAUAAUUGUAUGAUUCUCCAAUUUCACUUUUACAGGCCAGGACGAACUUAUUGGCCUGGAUACGACCAAAUUGUCAAAUUGUACGCAUUUCAUUGGGCCCCCCACACCAACCCAGUCAAAAGUAGACAUGAUACCAGGGGAGGAACGGUUGAUGGUUCAAGUUCAUUUCCUAGAGGCGAAACAGGAGCGCGAGAUUGAAAAGCAUCUCUCUCUGAACAGUCUCAAAUUGCUAAAGUUCGCGAGCCAAGAUCGAGAGCAAGGAGCGAGGAUCGAGAGCAUGAGACCUCCUGAAUUUCCUCCUCCUCUAACUUCCGUAUAAAAAACCAAUCCGGCACAAAGUAUCCUGCUCUCCUUCCUCCAUUUCUAUUUCGUCCAGUUCUUUCCAGUCUACUUGAUCGCCUGCACUGAAUGGCCCAUCUAGCCAAAAAUCAAUAUCAUCGCAUUCUUGCUUGGACGACCAAUUCAGGAAUCCCCAUGAUUGCUGAAGUAAAACACCCACAAAAUAAAACAUGUUCAUCUCCAAUUCUCCUCGCCUAGCAACAGUUUCCAAAAUAUACAAAUUGCGACAGUUCUCAAAGGCCAGCACUCUUACAUCAAAUCAGGCAUAGUUGCAACCAAGGAGUAAUGUAAUUGCCAGAAGAUGAAUAUACAAACUUAAGAAGGCACAAUUCACAUAAUUUAAGUUCCGCGCAUAUGUACAAUCAGGUCACCUUUUCCUCAAAGCUACCUCUUUAGAGAUUGUUUUUCUCACCUCCCGGUUUGCGAUGACUGGGCAAGCAUUAUAUCGGAAUAAGACAAAGUUCCUGACUGAUCGACAUCAAGAUCUUCAAACUCUUCCAUCACGAGAGCGAUGUCUUCUUGAUUAAUCUUCCCCAUCUCUUUCAGCUUAUAUAUUAUGAAUUCGGCAGCCC